GACGAACGCUGGCGGCGUGCUUAACACAUGCAAGUCGAGCGGUAAGGCCCUUUCGGGGGUACGACGAGCGGCGAACGGGUGAGUAACACGUGGGUGACCUGCCCUCAGCUCUGGGAUAAGCCUGGGAAACCGGGUCUAAUACUGGAUAUGACUCCAUGACGCAUGUUGUGGGGUGGAAAGCCUUGUGCGGCUGAGGAUGGGCCCGCGGCCUAUCAGCUUGUUGGUGGGGUGAGGCCUACCAAGGCGACGACGGGUAGCCGGCCUGAGAGGGCGACCGGCCACACUGGGACUGAGACACGGCCCAGACUCCUACGGGAGGCAGCAGUGGGGAAUCUUGCGCAAUGGGCGAAAGCCUGACGCAGCGACGCCGCGUGUGGGAUGACGGCCU
rnacentral:rRNA from 1 species